GUGGGGAAUAUUGGACAAUGGGCGAAAGCCUGAUCCAGCAAUGCCGCGUGUGUGAAGAAGGCCUGCGGGUUGUAAAGCACUUUUAUCGGGAAAGAAACAGCCUGGGGCGAAUACCCCCAGGCCUUGACGGUACCCGAUGAAUAAGCACCGGCUAACUCCGUGCCAGCAGCCGCGGUAAUACGGAGGGUGCGAGCGUUAAUCGGAAUUACUGGGCGUAAAGCGAGUGUAGGCGGUUGCAUAAGUCGGAUGUGAAAGCCCCGGGCUUAACCUGGGAAUGGCAUUCGAUACUGUGCGGCUAGAGUCUGAUAGAGGGAAGUGGAAUUCCAGGUGUAGCGGUGAAAUGCGUAGAUAUCUGGAAGAACACCAGUGGCGAAGGCGGCUUCCUGGAUCAAGACUGACGCUGAGGCUCGAAAGCGUGGGGAGCAAACAGGAUUAGAUACCCGAGUAGUCC
rnacentral:rRNA from 1 species